AUUGAACGCUGGCGGCAGGCUUAACACAUGCAAGUCGAGCGGGGGAAGGUAGCUUGCUACCGGACCUAGCGGCGGACGGGUGAGUAAUGCUUAGGAAUCUGCCUAUUAGUGGGGGACAACAUCUCGAAAGGGAUGCUAAUACCGCAUACGUCCUACGGGAGAAAGCAGGGGAUCUUCGGACCUUGCGCUAAUAGAUGAGCCUAAGUCGGAUUAGCUAGUUGGUGGGGUAAAGGCCUACCAAGGCGACGAUCUGUAGCGGGUCUGAGAGGAUGAUCCGCCAAACUGGGACUGAGACACGGCCCAGACUCUUACGGGAGGCAGCAGUGGGGAAUAUUGGACAAUGGGGGGAACCCUGAUCCAGCCAUGCCGCGUGUGUGAAGAAGGCCUUAUGGUUGUAAAGCACUUUAAGCGAGGAGGAGGCUACUCUAGUUAAUACCUAGGGAUAGUGGACGUUACUCGCAGAAUAAGCACCGGCUAACUCUGUGCCAGCCGCCGCGGUAA
rnacentral:rRNA from 1 species